rnacentral:rRNA from 1 species
GGUAACACGUAAAGUACAACCUAGCCUACUUAUAGGGGAAGUAAACAAGUAGAGAAAUACAUUGCUAAUACCGCAUAUGCUCACACGUAUACACAUGAUACAGUGAGGAAGGAAGCAAUCCACUAAUAGAUGGGCUUGCGUCUGAUUAGCUAGUUGGUGGGGUAACGGCCUACCAAGGCGACGAUCAGUAGCCGGACUGAGAGGUUGAACGGCCACAUUGGGACUGAGAUACGGCCCAGACUCCUACGGGAGGCAGCAGUCGGGAAUAUUGCGCAAUGGAGGAAACUCUGACGCAGUGACGCCGCGUAUAGGAAGAAGGUUUUCGGAUUGUAAACUAUUGUCGUUAGGGAAGAUAAAAGACAGUACCUAAGGAGGGAAGCUCCGGCUAACUAUGUG